rnacentral:rRNA from 1 species
UACGUAGGGGGCAAGCGUUGUCCGGAAUUAUUGGGCGUAAAGCGCGCGCAGGCGGUUACUUACGUCUGUUGUGAAAGCCCUCGGCUCAACCGUGGAGGGUCAUUGGAAACUGGGGGACUUGAGUGCAGGAGAGAAGAGUGGAAUUCCACGUGUAGCGGUGAAAUGCGUAGAUAUCAGGAGGAACACCUGUGGUGGAGACAGCUUACUGGACCACUUCUGACGCUGAGACACGAAAGCGUGGGUAGCAAACAGG